UUGCUCUGUGGAUGAUACCUCAGUUGUUUGCAUACGCCAUAAACUUUUCAAUAGUAAAGUUCCUACAGGCACAGCACAGAGGAAAGUGCUGGUGAUGUUAUGGAUAUCAGUAGUUGUUUUGGUGCUGCACACAUUUUUUAGUUGGUUUCUUAUAUUUAAGCUUGGAUGGGGCCUAAUUGGAGCAGCAAUUACUCUCAACACAUCAUGGCGGGUCAUUGUGAUUGCACAAUUGUUGUACAUUUUCAUCACUAAGUCAGAUGGAGCUUGGAGUGGGUUUACAUGGCUAGCAUUUUCGGACAUGUUUGGUUUUGUAAAGCUUUCUUUGGCUUCAGCUGUUAUGUUAUGCUUGGAGUUUUGGUAUUUGAUGAUACUGGUGGUGAUAACAGGGCGUUUGAAAAAUCCUCUAAUACCAGUUGAUGCCAUAUCUAUCUGUAUGAACAUAAAUGGUUGGGAUGCCAUGAUUGCAAUUGGGUUCAAUGCUGCUAUCAAAAUCUUUUACCAUCUUUCUGUCUGUUCCUUUUCACAAUACAGUUCUAGUCACUACAUAUAUAGAAAACCCCUAUGUUCCUAUAACCUAAUGAAUAGUUGAUUUUGAAAUUUGGAUUGAUUUUCCAUGAAUCACAUUGGGACAUAAUUUCUCACUAAUCACGUGGGGACAUGAUUUGUGUGAGGUCUUGCGUUGCAUUGAGCCCCGUGCAUGAUUUGGCGAUGCCUCUCUGGGUUUUUGAAUUCUUAUAUUUUCUUUUCGUUUUUAUCUUUUGAUGUUUAUUAUGAGCAUUUAAGAUUUUAGAUUUUAUUCUCCAUGACUUCCCAUUGGGUCUUACUGGGCAGAUAAGCAAAUGGAUUUGUUCAGCAGGUUGUGGAAGGCAGUGGCUGGAAAUUAUUGAUGGACUUCCUGUGAAGCCUUAGGUUUUAUUACCCUCGCAUUCAUUAUUUUCUUAUGUGUUUGCUCUGCGUUUGAUGGUGUACGGUAACCUGGUAGUGUCAGAGUUAUUGUGUGUGAUUCUAACAGGCACUAUAAGAGUAUUGGGAGGCACUGGAGUUUUUGCGGACAAUUUGUUAGCAUUUAGGUUUUUGGAGAACUCUUCGACGAUGUUCAGCAGGCUGUGGAAGGCAGUGGCUGGAGAUUAUUGAUGGACUUCCUGUGAAGCCUUAGGUUUUAUUACCCUCACAUUAAUUAUUUUCUUAUGUGUUUGUUCUGCGUUUAUUGGUGUACGGUCACCUGGUAGUGUCAGUUAUUGUGUGAGAUCCUAACAGGAACUAUAAGUAUUGGGAGGCACUGGAGUUUUUGCGGACAAUUUGUUUGUUUCAUUUGGGUUUGGAGAACUCUGAUUUCACAAUUUUUUUCACAAAUUUUUAAUAUGAAAGAUAUUUCUAGGUGUUGAACUGUUUGUGUUCAUUUGUAUGCAGCAUGCCAAGUCCUGAUAUGAGAUUUCUGUUGCCGAUUGUUGAAGAAUAAAUCAUAAAAUUAGAACAGAUAACAGCUCUGGAUGAAUUAAUUUCAUUGAUGAGUUUCUUCUUUCUGUAUUAUUUAUUUCUCUGGAUUUGAUCACGAAACAUUGAAUUGAAUUGUGAGCCUGUUUUCUCUGCAGCAUAUAGUGUUUUGAAUAAUUUUGUGUAGUACCCUUCAUCUCAUCGAGCCUCAUGCGUAAUUUGGUGAUGUUUCUCACUGUUUUUGAAUUCUUGGAUUUUCUUUUUGUUUCUAUCAUUCUUUGUUUAUAGUUAUGAGCCAUUAGUUUUUCAAUUUUAUUCUCCUUGAUUUCCAAUUGGGGCCUUACAGGGAAGAUUGACAAUGGAUGUUGGUAGGAUGUGGAAGCAGUGGUGGUGGAGAUUAUUGACGUACUCACUGUGAAGCCUUAGGUUUUAUUAUCCUUACAUUAUCUUUGUUUUCUUAAUUGUUGUUUCUAAUAGGAACCAUAAGAGAGAGUAAUGAGGAGGCAAGAGAAUUUGUAUACUUUGUUUCUUCUACUGGAGGAAUAUGGGUAGUGUUAAUUUCUUCAUAGAUGAGACACCAAGUUUCCUGGAACUGUUCAACUUACCCGAUUAUAUCAGCAAGAAUUGAGGAACAUUUGAUACAUAAUCUCACAUGAGUUUGUUUUCUUGUUUCUUAGAUGAGGGUUGCUGGUCUGUCUUGUGUUUCCAUGCGUUGAGUCUGAAAAUGAUUUUUAUGUCCUUUGGUUUUACCAGAUGAUAUCUGCAAGAUGUAAUUUCUUUCAUGAGCUUGAUCUAUCUAGUUUCUUAGUUGAUGACUAUUUAUCUAGGUAACCUGUGUUCUGUAGUUCGGAAAAAUGAUCCCCCCCCCCCCCCCCAGGUGUAGCCAAAUUGAAGACAGGAUCUUUGAGAAUGGCAUUUGAUUUUACCAUAUGAGCAAAGAGCUCCGGACUAUUUGGUUUAAUUGGGAUCUUUUUUUCACUGCAUUAAAUCUGUGAUAACUUUGUUUUUGUUUCCUGUACGAUAGAUCAUAGCACACUUGAAUUGAAUUUUGAACUUGUUUUAUGCUGUUUAGUGUUUGAUUUCUGCAAAAUCAAUAAAGCUCUUGCAUAAUUCAGUUAGAAUUCAUGGUUUAUCUUUUCAUUUUUAGACUUUUCAUGACAAGUGUCAACUUUUGAAUAGUGUAGAGAUUAAUCAAUGAAUAUGUGCUGGGUUUGGUAUCACUUUCAUUUGCCAUUCCUAUGUGGAUUAGAUUUUUAUGUCAUCUGUUCACGAGGUCUACUUUUUGUUAAUUCUUAUGAAAAGUUUGGUGUUCAACUUGUGCUUGAAAAUUAAUUAUCUUUAUCAUCAACUUAUCUUUGAUUUCAAAAUUUGCUUAUCUUAAAUUUUCCAUAUUACUCAAUCUGUUUUUUAUAUUGCAUUCAGGAACUUGAUUUCUCAUUUACAGAGAACAAUAAUGAAUUUUUAUACCAUUUCAUUAUUUAGUUAGUUCCUAUAUUUGGAGGUCUCAUUUCUAUUUGAGUUGAUUUCAAUUUCAUGAUUUUUGGCUUUUGCUAUUCUUAUUUUUAGGAUCUAUUAGUGGUUGUAUGAUUUUGCUCUUCCGAUUUUUAAGCUUGUUUUUCUUAAUUUUAUGUUGUGCUUUGGAUUGAAGAUCUCUAGAAACUGAUAUUUCUUUUGACUUUCUAUUUCUACUCUAUUGUAUAAAAAUCAUUUUAAUGUUAUCUUCUGUUGAUCAAGGAGAUUUUGGCUUUUCUCUGCUCAAGUUCCUUCGUUUGCAGCAUGUGCUGAAGUAUGUUCACAAGAUUUUGGUGUGUAUCAAGUUUCCAUCCGUUCUGCAAGCAGCAAAUUAGAAUGGCUAACAAGUCUAGAUGAAUUUGGUUUUUCUUCAAUGGGAUAUUCAUUAUUGUUAGUUUCUGAAUUUGAUCAUGAGGCAUAUGGAUUGAGUUUUAAAACUGUUGCAAUGUAGAGUAGAAGUUUUGUGUUGCGUUCUGCGUAGCAUUGAGCCUCAGCAUGAUUUGGUGAUGUCUACCCUGGAUUCCAAUCUCUCAGAUGUGUCUUCAUUUUGCUUUUAGUGUAUGCGCUUUUCUUGAUUUCUUCUCCAUGAUUUCUGCUUUGGGUCUCACAGGGAAGUCAAGUAGUGGAAAUCAGUAAAUGUGGUUGGUUGUGAAAGGCAGUGGCUAUCUUAUUUACAUGAUUUGGUGAUCUCUACCCUGAAUUUAGAAUUCUUGGAUUGUCUUUUGCUUCUACUUUUCAAUGGUCUAGUAUGAGGGCAUUUCUUGAAUUACUUCUCUGUUGUUUCGUCUUGGGUCUUGUGGUGUGGGAUGGCUGUUGAAGGCUCGAAUCAUCUACUUGCAUUUAUUCAUUUGCCGUAUGCUAGAUUCCAGAUGAGUUUUAUUUCCUGAUGUUGCUGAUUGAAGAUUGAAUCAAUAAAUUAUUAUGCCUUUCUUUUGAAACCGUGGAUUAGAAUCUGGCUACAGAUAAACUUAAUGUCUUAGAUGUUUCAUUUUCUGGAUUUGUUCACAGUGAAUAUGGAUUGAAUUGUGAGCCUGUUUCUUCUGCAGCGGUGGGAGAGUACUAUUUAGGUUCUGGUUUUUAUUACCCUCGAUACAAUCAUUAUCUCAUGUUCAUUAUGGACUGGCUUUCCUUAUUGUGGGUUUUGGAUUUAUUGUUUUUGACAGUGUAGGGUUCUGUCAGAGUUAGACUUGAUGAUUCUUUUUGGGAAAUGUAGGAGGAUAACUGGUUCUUUAUAGGAUUGGCCCGUAUGAUUUGGUGAUGUUGGAUUUCUAUGUGUUUAGUUACUUAUUUACUUCUCAAUUGAUUCUGUGUCAUGAAUUGUGGCUAUAAGACUUUGUUAUUUUGUCUUCUCAAUGGACUACUAGUAUAUUGGAGAGAGAAUAUUGGACAGCCUUUGUCAGGUCAAUUUUUGUUAUCUUCAUCUUUGGUGGUCUGAAGAACUAUGCUGCUCUUUUAUAUGAUCUUUAAGUAUAUCCUCUUAAAAUUGGAUAUCAUUUGUCAGUUCAAAACAGCACAUUGAGGACAGUGAAAAGUAGAAGCAGAUUUUAGGAUUCUUGAUCUAGGUGUUGCUCCACGACUUCAUUAGUUAAAGGCAUGUAGAAGUUUGAAUUGACAUUAAUGGUGAUAUUUCCUAGGAAUAUAAUUUUUUUUGAAGGAUCAAA